UACGGAGGGUGCAAGCGUUAUCCGGAUUCACUGGGCUUAAAGGGUGCGUAGGUGGGUUGGUAAGUCAGUGGUGAAAUCUCCGAGCUUAACUUGGAAACUGCCAUUGAUACUAUCAGUCUUGAAUAUUGUGGAGGUCAGCGGAAUAUGUCAUGUAGCGGUGAAAUGCUUAGAGAUGGCAUAGAACACCAAUUGCGAAGGCAGCUGGCUACACAUAUAUUGACGCUGAGGCACGAAAGCGUGGGGAGCAAACAGG
rnacentral:rRNA from 1 species